UACGUAGGGUGCAAGCGUUAUCCGGAAUUAUUGGGCGUAAAGAGCUCGUAGGCUGUUUGUCGCGUCUGCUGUGAAAACUGGAGGCUCAACCUCCAGCCUGCAGUGGGUACGGGCAGACUAGAGUGCGGUAGGGGAGAUUGGAAUUCCUGGUGUAGCGGUGGAAUGCGCAGAUAUCAGGAGGAACACCGAUGGCGAAGGCAGAUCUCUGGGCCGUAACUGACGCUGAGGAGCGAAAGCAUGGGGAGCGAACAGG
rnacentral:rRNA from 1 species